rnacentral:lncRNA from 1 species
GACUUGGGACCCCCGGGUUUGGGGUCGGGUUUGGGGUCGGGUUUGGGGUCGGGUUUGGGACCCCCGAAUUUGGGAUUGACCCCCCAAAUUUGGGACUGACCCCCAGGUUUGGGAUUGACCCCAAACUGAGCCUCCCCAUCGGGGCCGCGCCGCACCAGAACUGCCCAAAAAGGGGUUUUGUGGUCGGGACCCCCGGGUUUGGGGUCGGGUUUGGGGUUGGGAUCCCCCAGAUUUGGGAUUGACCCCCAGGAUUUGGGAUUGACCCCCCCAAAUUUGGGAUUGACCCCAAACUGAGCCUCCCCAUCGGGGCCGGGCCACACCAGAACUGCCCAAAAAGGGGUUUUGGGGUCGGGACCCCCGGGUUUGGGACCCCCAGACUUGGGACCCCCGGGUUUGGGGUCGGGUUUGGGGUCGGGUUUGGGGUCGGGUUUGGGGUUGGGUUUAGGACCCCCCAGAUUUGGGGUCGGAUUUGGGACCCCCGGAUUUGGGUUUGGGGUCGGGACCCCCGGGUUUGGGACCCCCAGAUUU